rnacentral:rRNA from 1 species
GACGAACGCUGGCGGCGUGCUUAACACAUGCAAGUCGAACGGAAAGGCCCUGCUUUUGUGGGGUGCUCGAUUGGCGAACGGGUGAGUAACACGUGAGUAUCCUGCCCCUGACUUUGGGAUAACUUCAGGAAACUGGGGCUCAUACCGGAUAUGAUCUCCUGCUGCAUGGUGGGGGUUGGUAAGUUUCGGCGGUUGGGGAUGGACUCGCGGCUUAUCAGCUUCUUGGUGUGGUAGUUGCUUACCAAGGCUUUGACGGGUAGCCGGCCUGAGAGGGGUACCGGGGUCAUUGGGACUGAGGUACGGACCAGAAGCGUACGGGAGGCAGCAGUGGGGAGUAUGGCAGAAUGAGCGGGAGCCAGAGACAGCGACGCCGCGUGCGGAAUGACGGCCUUCGGGUGAUGAACAGCUUUCGCAUGUGACGAAGAGUGAGUGACGGUAAUGGGUAAAGAAGCACCGGCUAACUACGUG